AGAGAGAGAGAGAGACUUUGCAAAAAGGUCAUGACUUUUUCUACUCUUGUAACUUUAAUGGCAUGCUAAAUCCAUGGGACUCUGUCUCAUUGUGCGUGUAUGCGUGUCAGAGAGAGAGAAACAGAGAGGAAUAUGGCCCCGAAGAUACGCCUACGCCUCCCCUGUUUAUCAUUCGCUUUGUUGACUUGGCCUUCUUCUCAAGGGACCCAUCAAUGAUCUCAGAGUUCGAAGAAAUCAGCAUUACCAUUCUUGCUGCCGUCAGCAGUAGCUUUCAGCUGGCAGUCGCAUGCUUCUCUAGAUUCAGAUUUUCGCUGAAGCUCUCAUAGCUUACAGCUCGGUUUGUUGUGUGCAAUACUUAUGCAGUCGACCUGUUUGUUGAUUCGUUUAGCAGAGGAGGAACCGGCCACACGGAGGACUGGGCUUUGAGCCUUUGACUGCACCCUGCCCUGGAUGAGAAUGGAUCCCAAUUGGUCUCGGCUGCCGAAAGAACUUCUCGGCUCGGAGACCAAGUCCAGUUUCGAGCUGUCGGCAAAAAGUUGGAGAAGCAUUAGGCAUCUGACAAGGUGUCGAGUCUUGGUUUUUCAAUAAUGCUUGGUUUAUCCCUCAUGCUUAGGUGAGCUCAUUCUUCUACCAUCAUAGCCAUUACGUACAUGUACUACAACUAGUCUAAUGAAAAAAGGAAAGUUUCAGACCAGAAGGAUUUCGAUUCUGUUGGGGAUUGCUCUCUACAACUUUGUGGAGGCUCACACUGUCUCCUUCCUUAGAUUUUUCUUCUGUAAAGCUUUUGCAGUCCUGAAGUCUUGAUCCCCUGUAUCAUGUCCACACUCUAGAAGAGACUUUGCUGCCACUGCAACGAUUGCCUAGUGGCAUGCUUGUUCCUUGUAAUAUCUCUCUACCUUCCCCUUACUUCCUGGGGCUUACGAAAUGUAAUCCUUGCUUACUUAAUGUUCAGAUUCAUGAUGACAUAA